GCAAGUCGAACGAAGCAGCAGUGAAGGAGGCUCGGCCAAUGGAUCUGUUGACUUAGUGGCGGACGGGUGAGUAACGCGUGAGCAACCUGCCUUUCAGAGGGGGAUAACGUUUGGAAACGAACGCUAAUACCGCAUGACAUAGUAUUAUCGCAUGGUAGUGCUAUCAAAGGAGCAAUCCGCUGAAAGAUGGGCUCGCGUCCGAUUAGAUAGUUGGUGGGGUAACGGCCUACCAAGUCGACGAUCGGUAGCCGGACUGAGAGGUUGAACGGCCACAUUGGGACUGAGACACGGCCCAGACUCCUACGGGAGGCAGCAGUGGGGAAUAUUGCACAAUGGGCGCAAGCCUGAUGCAGCAACGCCGCGUGAGGGAAGACGGUUUUCGGAUUGUAAACCUCUGUCCUUGGUGACGAAGAAUGACGGUAGCCGAGGAGGAAGCCACGGCUAACUACGUGCCAGCAGCUGC
rnacentral:rRNA from 1 species